rnacentral:rRNA from 1 species
CGAACGCUGGCGGCGUGCUUAACACAUGCACGUCGAACGGAAAGGCCCUGCUUUUGUGGGGUGCUCGAGUGGCGAACGGGUGAGUAGCACGUGAGUAACCUGCCCUUGACUUUGGGAUAACUUCAGGAAACUGGGGCUAAUACCGGAUAGGAGCUCCUGCUGCAUGGUGGGGGUUGGAAAGUUUCGGCGGUUGGGGAUGGACUCGCGGCUUAUCAGCUUGUUGGUGGGGUAGUGGCUUACCAAGGCUUUGACGGGUAGCCGGCCUGAGAGGGUGACCGGCCACAUUGGGACUGAGAUACGGCCCAGACUCCUACGGGAGGCAGCAGUGGGGAAUAUUGCACAAUGGGCGGAAGCCUGAUGCAGCAACGCCGCGUGCGGGAUGACGGCCUUCGGGUUGUAAACCGCUUUCGCCUGUGACGAAGCGUGAGUGACGGUAAUGGGUAAAGAAGCACCGGCUAACUACGUG